GCACCGACGGGCGGUCGCCCCAGGGUCUGAGCCGCGGUCCCCGUGGAGCCGUUCCCCUCAGCGCUUCAGCCCUGCACCGAGGGACGAUCGUCCCAGGGUCUGAGCUGCGGUCCCCGUAGGGGCCGUUCCCCUCAGCGCUUCAGCCCUGCACCGAGGAGCGAUCGUCUCAGCGUCUGAGCCGCGGUCCCCGCCUGUGCCGCUCCCCUCAGCGCCUCGUUCCCUCCCGCAAUGGCCGCUCCCCUCAGCGCCUUCCUUCACCCAAAGGCGCCCGUGAGCUGCUCCCUGAGCGCCUCGGCCCGAGCGUGAGGCCGUUCCUCUCAUAAUCUCCCAUUUCAGCCUCACCUUGGCUAGUCAAGGCCUCUCUGAAACGACCCUUUUUUUUCCCUAAGGACCUUAUGUUCCCCAAAGGGUAGUUUCUCACCCUGCUGGCACCUCUGGCCAUCCCUUUUUUGGCAGCCCCAUUCUCCUUCCAGAAUGACCUCUCGUUCUCCCUUCCCCUCCCUUGUCACCCUUCCAUCACCUCCUCAAAGGAAUCCUGUCACCUCCCAGCAAGCCUUUUCCCGAAGGACUUGUGAGCGAGCAGACCAUGUACUCUGGAAGUCUGAACAUUCUUCUGCUCUUUGGGGUUUCCUCCAACUUGUCCACAUCUCCCUUGAGCUGCUGGUACUUUAGAUGAAGCCUUCAAAGUGUGAAAUGGUUUGGGCAGAUUUCCGUUUUUUCGAUGCAAUACUCCUGAACUUAACGCAAGAAGCCUUUUGUGGAGGGAAGUAUUUAAAUGCUGCCCAUCGGUGAGGAAGAGUGGCUGAGAGCUGAGCACACCCCUUAGUGGUUGUCCUGAAUUUCUGAAUCGCUAAUGUCUCAGAAGACUCAUUAUUAAUAUCCAAAAAUAGUGCAGGGUCCCGAUGCGUGAAGAGGCAAACAGGACGUCGACUCCUCCGGGACACGGGUGUGGUGAUCCGCCAGGGCUGCUGUCUGAUUCAUUAAACUCCCUGAGACAUUAAUUCAGUGCUGAUUGAAGCAUGUUGUCAAACCUGCCACCAGGGUUCCCGCGGGAGGAUGAGGAUGUUCACAUCACCAAAGGAAACGUGAAGUGUGGGGAUAGGAGCUGCAGCUGCAUCGCAAGGCAGGGAAGCAUCUUAUCUUCAAUUUGCAGGUGCUGAGAAGGGGACAAGCUGCCUGGGAUGGGUCACCAACGCUCUGCUGGGAGAAAUCUGUCCCUGGUUAAGCAGCCAGCUGGUUAACUAGCUGACUAGCUUCACGGGGUGGGUGGGGAGGUGAAGUUCAUAUUCCUUUACAUUGAACAAGAGCUGUAAGGAACAAGAUCUGUAUUUCACAAAACUUAGAGAAUCAAAGAAUGGUUUGGGUUGAAGGGACCUUCAAAGCUCAUCCAGUGCCACCCCUGCCAUGAGCAGGGACAUCUGCACCAGCUCAGGUUGCUCAGAGCCCCGUCCAGCCUGGCCUGGGAUGUCUCCAGGGAUGGUUCAUCUACCACCUCUCUGGCCAACCUGGGCCAGGCUCUCACCACCCUCAGUGGAAAACAUUUGUGGAAGAAAUGAGCUCUGUCUCCCCGUCAGGAUGGCCCUUCACAGGCAUUGUCUCAAAGUUGACUGAGAACUGGGCAGAGUUUUACAGAAUAUUUAUCAAAAAUGUUUAAUCCCAAUCUGAAUAAAAAGCUGAAAUUCUGGCAUUUGUGAUAUAACAUUUCAGGGGAAAAAGUAUGUUUCAGGACAAUUAACUUGUUUCAGGACAAUUAACUUAUUUCAGUUUUCUUUUUAUUCCAAUUUUACUUUAUAUUGUGUAAGAUUUUUAUUUAAUACAUAUGUUGUAUUGUUUUAGUUUAUAUGAUAUAAUUUCAUCAUGAUUUUGAUGCUGAAUAAAAUUAAUAUUGAAAUGAAAA